rnacentral:rRNA from 1 species
GUGUCAGCAGCCGCGGUAAUACGUAGGUGGCGAGCGUUGUCCGGAUUUAUUGGGCGUAAAGCGCGUGCAGGCGGUCGUCUAAGUCCGGCGUGAAAGCCCCCGGCUCAACCGGGGGAGGUCGCGGGAUACUGGGGGACUUGGAGGCGGGCAGAGGCCGGUGGAAUUCCCGGUGUAGUGGUGAAAUGCGUAGAGAUCGGGAGGAACACCAGUGGCGAAAGCGGCCGGCUGGGCCUGGCCUGACGCUGAGACGCGAAAGCGUGGGGAGCGAACCGGAUUAGAUACCCGGGUAGUCCACGCCGUAAACGAUGGGCACUAGGUGUGGGAGGUAUCGACCCCUUCCGUGCCGACGCUAACGCAGUAAGUGCCCCGCCUGGGGAGUACGGCCGCAAGGCUAAA